rnacentral:rRNA from 1 species
GUGGGGAAUUUUGGACAAUGGGGGCAACCCUGAUCCAGCCAUGCCGCGUGCGGGAAGAAGGCCUUCGGGUUGUAAACCGCUUUUGUCAGGGAAGAAAUCCUUUGGGUUAAUACCUCGGAGGGAUGACGGUACCUGAAGAAUAAGCACCGGCUAACUACGUGCCAGCAGCCGCGGUAAUACGUAGGGUGCGAGCGUUAAUCGGAAUUACUGGGCGUAAAGCGUGCGCAGGCGGUUUUGUAAGACAGAGGUGAAAUCCCCGGGCUCAACCUGGGAACUGCCUUUGUGACUGCAAGGCUAGAGUACGGCAGAGGGGGAUGGAAUUCCGCGUGUAGCAGUGAAAUGCGUAGAUAUGCGGAGGAACACCGAUGGCGAAGGCAAUCCCCUGGGCCUGUACUGACGCUCAUGCACGAAAGCGUGGGGAGCAAACAGGAUUAGAUACCCGGGUAGUCC